UACAGAGGUCCCGAGCGUUGUUCGGAUUCACUGGGCGUAAAGGGUGCGUAGGUGGCUUGAGAAGUUUGAUGUGAAAGCUCAGGGCUUAACCCUGAAAUGGCAUUGAAUACUGUCGAGCUGGAGGUUUGGAGGGGGGACUGGAAUUCUUGGUGUAGCAGUGAAAUGCGUAGAUAUCAAGAGGAACACCAGUGGCGAAGGCGAGUCCCUGGACAACACCUGACGCUGAGGCACGAAAGCUAGGGGAGCAAACAGG
rnacentral:rRNA from 1 species